rnacentral:rRNA from 1 species
UACGUAGGGUGCGAGCGUUGUCCGGAAUUACUGGGCGUAAAGAGCUCGUAGGUGGUUUGUCGCGUUGUUCGUGAAAACUCACAGCUUAACUGUGGGCGUGCGGGCGAUACGGGCAGACUGGAGUACUGCAGGGGAGACUGGAAUUCCUGGUGUAGCGGUGGAAUGCGCAGAUAUCAGGAGGAACUCCUGUGGCGAAGGCGACUUUCUGGGCCUGCUUUGACACUCAGACGCGAAAGCAUGGGGAGCGAACGGG